AGGGCUUAAGCUAAUAAAACUAAAAGCCUUCAAAGUUUUAAUUGGUAAUCCCUAAACCAGCCCUU
rnacentral:tRNA from 1 species